AUUGAACGCUGGCGGCAGGCCUAACACAUGCAAGUCGAACGAGUGGCGGUCGGGUGAGUAAUGUCUGGGAAACUGCCUGAUGGAGGGGGAUAACUACUGGAAACGGUAGCUAAUACCGCAUAACAUCGGAUGUUCCCAGGUGGGAUUAGCUGGUAGGUGGGGAAAAGGCUCACCUAGGCGACGAUCCCUAGCUGGUCGGAGAGGACGACGAGCCACACUGGAACGUGGAAACGGUCAAGACUCCUACGGAAGGCAGCGGUGGGGAAUAUUGCACAAUGGGCGCAAGCCGGAUGCAGCCAGGCGGCGUGUAGGAGGAGGGCCUUGGGGUUGUAAAGUACGUUCUGCGGGGAGGCGGUACCCGCAGAAGAAGCACCGGCUAACUCCGUGCCAGCAGCCGCGGUAAUUC
rnacentral:rRNA from 1 species